rnacentral:rRNA from 1 species
UACGGGGGGGGCAAGCGUUGUUCGGAAUUACUGGGCGUAAAGGGUGCGUAGGCGGCUUUCUAAGUUGGAUGUGAAAACUCUGGGCUCAACCCAGAGCCUGCAUCCAAAACUGGAGAGCUAGGGUUCUGGAGGGGAAAGCGGAAUUCCUGGUGUAGCGGUGAAAUGCGUAGAUAUCAGGAGGAACACCGGUGGCGAAGGCGGCUUGCUGGGCCAGUUCUGACGCUGAGGAGCGAAAGCGUGGGGAGCGAACAGG